GACGAACGCUGGCGGCGUGCUUAACACAUGCAAGUCGAGCGGUAAGGCCCUUUCGGGGGUACGACGAGCGGCGAACGGGUGAGUAACACGUGGGUGACCUGCCCUCAGCUCUGGGAUAAGCCUGGGAAACUGGGUCUAAUACCGGAUAUGACUCCAUGACGCAUGUUGUGGGGUGGAAAGCCUUGUGCGGCUGAGGAUGGGCCCGCGGCCUAUCAGCUUGUUGGUGGGGUGANGGCCUACCAAGGCGACGACGGGUAGCCGGCCUGAGAGGGCGACCGGCCACACUGGGACUGAGACACGGCCCAGACUCCUACGGGAGGCAGCAGUGGGGAAUCUUGCGCAAUGGGCGAAAGCCUGACGCAGCGACGCCGCGUGAGGGAUGACGGCCUGGUU
rnacentral:rRNA from 1 species